rnacentral:rRNA from 1 species
AGUGAACGCUGGCGGUAGGCCUAACACAUGCAAGUCGAACGGCAGCACAGUAAGAGCUUGCUCUUACGGGUGGCGAGUGGCGGACGGGUGAGGUAUACAUCGGAAUCUACUUUUUCGUGGGGGAUAACGUAGGGAAACUUACGCUAAUACCGCAUACGACCUACGGGUGAAAGCAGGGGAUCUUCGGACCUUGUGCGAUUGAAUGAGCCGAUGUCGGAUUAGCUAGUUGGCGGGGUAAAGGCCCACCAAGGCGACGAUCCGUAGCUGGUCUGAGAGGAUGAGCAGCCACACUAGAACUGAAACACGGUCCAGACUCCGACGGGAGGCAGCAGUGGGGGAUAUUGGACAAUAGGCGCAAGCCUGAUCCAGCCAUACCGCGUGGGUGAAGAAGGCCUUCGGGUUGUAAAGCCCUUUUGUUGGGAAAGAAAAGCAGCAGGUUAAUACCCCGCUGUUCUGACGGUACCCAAAGAAUAAGCACCGGCUAACUUCGUG